GUUAAGCCAUAAUAGCAAAUAGGUAAAAGAGUGAAGAAAUAAUCAGAGUGUUGAUUUAAAGUUUUCUUACUUUGGUUAUAUAUUGCUAUGUGAUAAAACUAUGAUUAUUAUAAAGUAUCAUAUAUCAAAUAAGGUCCCAACAAGCCACAUAUUUAGAGGAACAAUCAGGAAACACAAAGAAAAAGGAAACGAGCAAUAUGGAAAUUCAAAAGAGUGAUUGACUGGCUCUUCUGCCAGCAUCCCAAAGGGAUAAUUUUCUUGCGGCUAUCUCAAGCAAUAAUGAGAAUGUGAGACGGAUGUUGACUCCAUGGUUGGCGCGGCAUCGUCGAGUCUCAAAAAGGGACUCUUCGGCUCCGCUGUUCAUACGAAACAAAGAAAAUAAAGUAAAGGAAGAGGUUAGAGAUACUCAUAGAAUAAAAUCAUAUAUGCUAUUUAAUGAAGGACAGAGAAACUCAUCGUUCUUAGUGUGCCUCCAAAAUAAUUCAAAUGUAUCCAAGUAAACAUACAUACAUUUGCUCAACCAAAUAGUGCAAAACUAAACCAAUAAACUACUUAUUACAAACAAAUGGGACACCAUUCAUACAUAUUAUGGGAUAUUCACACAAGCAGGUAGUAUGUGAGAGACAUAAUCUAAAUAUAAAGGAUAGAAACAGUAGCCAUUUUCCACAUAAAUCAAAGCAGCGUAAUUUGAACUUGAGAUUUAACAUUAUGAACAUACCGUUAAAUCUUCCUACAUGGUUUUUUUCAAUAGACAUGAAUAAAAUAAUUCCUAACAUCAUGAUAUCUAAGCAUAAAGUAACAUCAUUAAUUUAUGGAAGUGUACAAAUUUAUAUUGCAACUGAAGGGAACCAGAGAGAAGACUUAACCCAAUUUCAUUUAACUUCAUCACUAAUUUAUGAUAUAUGACUCGGCAAAAUAAGAAACCUAAAGUUCAAACCUGGUGUUUUAAAACUUAGACAAAUAACCUUAGAACUACUCAUUUAGUUAAAGAAGAAAUUCGGCAAAGCUAUGAGAAAAUACUUUACUAGAUCAUAAAUUCGAUAUAUAGCAUAUUAAUCAUCAAUACAUUUAUAAUCUACUCCUAUGUGAGAAUAAAGCAUCAACAAGUGUAACGAUCCGGCUGGUCGUUUCAGGAAUUACCGCUCCGUUUCCCCCCUUUUUCUGCUUCUUUAUGCUUUGUUCAUCUGUGUUAUACGGUAUCGGGUUGGUCGGUUGGAAUUCGGAAUGAUUUUCGAAAGGUUUGAGACAUUUAGUCUUUUCUGAGUAAGCUUAAGUUGAAAAAGUCAACCGGAUGUUGACUUAUGUGAAAAAGGUCUUGGAUGUGAAUUUCGAUUAUUCGGAUAGCUCCGUGAGGUGAUUUGGAACUUAGGAGCGUGAUGGGAAUGUGUUUUGGAGGUCUGUAGUAGAUUUAGGUUUGAAUUGGCGAAAUUGGAAUUUUGGCAUCUUUCCGGUUGGUAGCGGAGAUUUUGAUAUAAGGGUCAGAGUGGAAUUCCGGAAGUUGCAAUAGGUCCGUUGUGUCAUAUGUGACGUGUGUGCAAAAUUUCAGGUCAUUCGGAUGAGGUUUGAUAGAUUUUUUGAUAGAAAGCGGAAUUUCGAGGUUUUGAAAUUCAUAGGCUUGAAUCUGAGGGUGAUUUGGUGUUCUGGCAUUGUUUCGAGUGUUCCGAGGGUUGGAACAAGUUUGAAUAGUGUUAUGUGACUUGUUGGCGUGGUUGGUUGAGGUCCCGGGGGCCUCGGGGUGAUUUCGGAUGGUUGACGGGGAAUUUGGAGUUGGAAAUUUGCAGAUGAAGCUGCUGAAGUUCCUGUCAUAACCGCACCUGUAGCUUGGGGAUCGCAGGUGCGGGACCGUAGAAGCGGAUGAGCAGUGGCAAAUGCGGAAAUGGGCGAGAGGAUCUGGAACCACAUAUGCGGAGGUUCGAGCGCACCUGCGAUAGUGCAAUUGUCCUUGAGCGGAUAAGUGGCUUUCGCAGAUGCGCACCUAGGACCGCAGGUGCGGGUCUGCAAGUGCGAGAUUUUUGACCGCAUAAGCGGUUUAGCUGGGGCAGAACAUAUAAAUUAAGUCCUUCGCGAAUUUUCGGUUAUUCCACCAUUUUCACAUGCAAGUUUGAGUUUGGGAGAGCAAUUUGAAGAGGGAAUUCAAGAGGGUUUCGUGGAGGUAAAGGUUUUGGACCCUAAAAUUGAUUCUAUGAUGGUUUUUAACUGUUUAAGCUUGAAAUCUAUGGAAAUUAGUAGCAAAAUUGGGAAUUUAGGCCUUGGAAAUUGGUGACCAUAAUCUAGGGUUUUGAGCGGUCAUUUGUGGUCGGAUUUUGGUAUAUUUGGUGCGCAUGACCUCGUGAGAGUGUAAGGACUCUAGUUUUGUGAAUUUUAUCGGAAUCUGAGACGUGGGCCUGUGAGUCGAGUUUGGCCAAUUUCGGAAUUUUUGGUGUUAAUUGGUUAUUUUGGAGUGAGCUUUGUUCCCUUAGCAUAUUUUGAUGGUGUAAAUUUGUUUUUGGUUAGAUUUGGAGCAUCCAGAGGCCGAGUCGAGAGGCAAAGGCAUUGCAGGCUAGGGUUUGGACCCGAUUGAGGUAAGUAAUGAUUGUAAAUGUUGUCCUGAGUGUAUGAAACCUCGAAUUUCAUAUCGUUGUGCUACUUUGAGGUGAUGCACACGCUAGAUGACGAGCGUGGGGUCGUGCACAGUUGGGGACUGUGACUUAGUCCGUCCCGUAUGACUGUUAAGUCGCGUAUUUGGUUGAAAAAUGUUUGAUAUCAUUGUGUUUUGGAACAUAUUAUCAUGUUUUAGGCUGAAUGUCAUAUUUGGGCCUCGUGCCAACUAUUUUGGACCCUUAGGGGAUUUUUACUACUAUUCCUCACUGUUUUGACUUCACAUUUGUACUCAAUCAUGUUGUAUUCUACUGUUUUCAUAACUAAGUCAUAUUUACUUCGUUUUGAUAUUUUAAAUGACAUUUUGGGCUGAGCAUCAUGUUUUACUGUUGCCCGAGUGGCUUGAGAGAUUUCUGACUGAGUAAGGUCGAGGGCCUAUGUUGUGAGGAUAUUAUGGGGUCCGGCUGCGCGCCGCAGUAGUGUUGUACUGAUUCAUGAUUUUGAGGUCGAGGGCCUGAUUUUUUAUGCCUCAAGGUGGCUUGUUAUGAGACCGAGGACCUGUUUGAUUAUGCCACGAGAUGGCUUGUUAGAGCGCUUGGGCUGUAGGAGCCCCUCCAAGAGUCUCCACGCCCCCUGUGAGCGGGGGUACUUAGUGUGAGAUGUGAUGUUGCCCAAGGGGUUGUUGUUGUUUCAUGUUAUUGCCCGAGGGGCUGAUACGAGUGAGUGUGAGGUAGCGCAAGGGGCUGGUUCUAUUGAUAUUUUACCCGAGGAGCGCUUGUGGUAUAUGAUUUGCCCGAGGGGCUGUUUACAUUUCUAUUCUUUUCUCACUGUUUUCAUCACUCGGUUGAAACUAUUGAAUGUUGUUUAAAAAAGGUUUUACUGAACUGAGAUGUUUUUACGAGUGUUAUUGCGUUACUGCAUUAUUUUGGACUUAUACUAUUUUGUUGUAGCGUUAUGUUGUGGUUUAUGUGUUUUCUUACUGCUCAGUUGUCUUUACUUUUAUUAUUUACUGUGUUGGCAUACUCACAUUACUCCCUGCACCUUGUGUGUAAAUCUAGGAGCCUCGGGUCGCGAUAACGAGUGCUGAUUUGGCUUUCAGCAGGCUUUCGGAGUUGACUAGGUAGCUGCUUGGCGUUCGCGGCCCAGUGCUUCUCCUUCUUAUCUUUAUUUAGCUUUGCAUUAGCUUUGUUUCAGAAUAUGUUGCCUUUUCACAUUCCUAGACAAGUUGUAGACAUGACUGGUGACACCCCGAUGUCGGGCCGUGUUUUGUUUCCGCACUGUUCUAUUCUGUCUUACAUUUUGGGAUUUUAGCUUAUAAAUGACUUAUUAUAAUUGUUUGGUUGGUUUUGGGGGUUUGUGUCGGCUGACCUAGUUUCACGAUAGGCGCCAUCACGAUCGGGUCCGUUUUAGGUUUGUGACAACAAGACAAUAACAUUUCCAGAAACUUAUAAUAUAAAAGAGAAACGGAAGAAAAAGAAUUUUAACGAGCUCGUAAUCACUAACAUUGUCGUAUUACAAUUAGAAAACAUGAUGAAAGAAUUUAGGUAGAUCUUAACAUCACAAGUCUAGACAUGUAUCUCUAAAUCCUGACUUAAAAAUUAACCAUCUCAAACCCAACAAAUUUUAAAACGAAUGAAGCAAUAGAAAUUCGAUUUAGAGCUAACCUUUUUGGAGACAGUGAACUUGAGCUUUGAGGCUUCAGAUCCACUCCCUUUUGAUGAGAUUGAAACCAAUAGAGAUUAAAAAAAAUAACACUAGGGUCCUAUAAAGAUGAUAGUCAAAUGAAUAGCUUUGUUGAGGAAUUUUCGGAUGAUAAAACUUGGUUUUCUAGAGGAGAUUCCAGAAUGCCCUUCGGAUGAGACUUGGAGAGGUAUUUAUAGGCCAAAAACAAAGAUUUAGGGUUUCAUGAGCGGGAAUUAAAACUUUCAGAUUUCAAACAAAGUCAAACAGAGCUAUUCAAAUCCGAAUGUUGGAAUAGUAGCAGGGAUUCACGUGAUUCACUCAGUUCUUUCACGAAAUGGUAAGAUCUUGACUGAGGCGGAGAGAUUCGACAAGUCUUGUAGUGUAAAAAUGGGAGGAUCAUCUCUUGGUCAUCGAUACACGCCAAAAUAGAUGAGAGAAGGUCUUAUUUUGCUUGAAAUGGGCAGGCAAAAGCUGUACUUGAUUGUUGGAGGUUGAAUUUUAGCUAAAAAUGGAGAAGAGUACAAAGGCAUAGCUAUGAAGGACAAGGUUAAGAGAGGCACUAUUGCGGUCAAACGCACACAAGUAUACGUUUUUCUUUCUUUAAGCGCCAUAUGCCUUCUCUAAUUGUUGCUUAUUUACAUUUUUCUUGUCCUUCACUUGGGGGGAAAUACCAAAGUGUGUCCCCCUUUGUCUUAUUAUUAUUAUUAUUUUAAUUUUCUUUCUUUUUCUUUCGUAUUUUAUUCAAUUUUACUU
rnacentral:lncRNA from 1 species